GGUAAGUACUGUUAAACCAUGGUUAAUGGGGUUUAGUAGAUGUUUCAGGAUCUCCAGUAAGUACCGUUCCACCAUGGUUAAUGGGGUUUUAGUAGAUGUUUCAGAUCUCCAGUAGGUACUGUUAAACCAUGGUUAAUGGGGUUUAGUAGAUGUUUCAGAUCUCCACAAGGUACUGUUAAACCAUGGUUAAUGGGGUUUUAGUAGAUGUUUCAGAUCUCCAGUAGGUACCGUUCCACCCAUGGUUAAUGGGGUUUUAGUAUAUGUUUCAGAUCUCCAGUAGGUACCGUUCCACCCAUGGUUAAUGGGGUUUUAGUAUAUGUUUCAGAUCUCCAGUAGGUACCGUUCCACCAUGGUUAAUGGGGUUUUAGUAGAUGUUUCAGAUCUCCAGUAGGUACCGUUCCACCAUGGUUAAUGGGGUUUUAGUAGAUGUUUCAGAUCUCCA
ensembl:lncRNA